ensembl:lncRNA
AACAGACAUUGCAUGGUUACACUGAAUUCGGUGCUUUAAAUAUUGAAAUAAACUUAAUUCAAAGUACAUUUUGUUUCAUUAAAUUGAGAGCUAUUUUUUAUUAAAUUUAUUUUUAUAUUUAUUAAAUUUGAUAUUUUAUUUUACUUCACUUCACUUUACUUUACUUUACUCUCAGGCCAUUUACUGCAUUUAGUGUCCCCAAGUGACAAAGUUAACUUUUAGUAGAUAAAAAGAUUUCCUAAAAUGUUCUUUGUCUUCCAGGAGAAUAGAGCAAAAAUCUUAGUUACUCAUUCUGCACUACACAGAUUUCCGCCCAAUCAGAUGCUCUCUAGAAUAAGAAUGUCCCUCCCCCUGCAACCAACGAGCAACUAGCUAACCAUGGGUUGUGGCUAUGAGGUAUAUACAGAAAAAAAAAAUAGAUAAAUGGAUAAUAAAAUGUAAUAAUCACUUAUAUCUCAACUAAUAUCUCUUUUAAUAGGAAAUACAUUGACAUAGGAAAGAAAACUUGUGCUUGUCAAGUAAUUUUGUUGGUCUUUAUCUUUUUUCAGGAAUUUUAAGGAUGAAGGAAUCAACGCAAUGACAUUUACUGGCAUCCGUACAAAGAUUACACAUGCUUUUCCCAUAAUAGUGAGUAACAGUGAGUGAUGUGCUAGAGAUUUAAGGAGGUUUUAUUCUGGACACUGUAUCAUUACGAAGCAUUCCCCGCAGACAUUAGGGAGGAGAGUGAUUAGAUAGGGGAAAGACUGGUGUGUGAAUCAGCUAACGGUUCCUUUUGGAGGCUCUCUUGGCUCUUUGUUCUCUUAAGCUUUGCUUUAGUGUGUUGGUAUGAAUUGGGGGAUAUGCAUCUGAGGGAUCCCCAGAGCCAAAUCCAAACAUCUGUCUGUUUCACCUCUGCAUCGCUUGAAAUGUGUUGGAAUGUGGAAUCUGAUCAAACUUGCUGUGAGUGUGGAAGAGACAGAAAGUUCAUACAUGAAAACAAAAGAAGAUAUCUGGACAAACAUUGAGGUCCAACAACAUUGGAUGUUCAUUUGUUAAGGUCAAACAAGUUAGGAACAACAUGAGGGUGAGUAAAUAAUGACUGAAUUUACAUUUUUUAGGUGAACUAUUCCUUUAUAGCCCACUUGCACCAAGAACAAACAUAUUUAUUAUGCUUAAAAAUGACUUUUAUGUUCCAUUAAAGUGAGUGGUAUUCGUAUAGUCACA